rnacentral:rRNA from 1 species
AUCCUGGCUCAGAGCGAACGCUGGCGGCAGGCUUAACACAUGCAAGUCGAGCGGGCGUAGCAAUACGUCAGCGGCAGACGGGUGAGUAACGCGUGGGAACGUACCUUUUGGUUCGGAACAACACAGGGAAACUUGUGCUAAUACCGGAUAAGCCCUUACGGGGAAAGAUUUAUCGCCGAAAGAUCGGCCCGCGUCUGAUUAGCUAGUUGGUGAGGUAACGGCUCACCAAGGCGACGAUCAGUAGCUAGUCUGAGAGGAUGAUCAGCCACAUUGGGACUGAGACACGGCCCAAACUCCUACGGGAGGCAGCAGUGGGGAAUAUUGGACAAUGGGCGCAAGCCUGAUCCAGCCAUGCCGCGUGAGUGAUGAAGGCCCUANGGUUGUAAAGCUCUUUUGUGCGGGAAGAUAAUGACGGUACCGCAAGAAUAAGCCCCGGCUAACUUCGUGCCAGCAGCCGCGGUAAUACGAA